AAUGGGUCAGCGACUUAUAUUCUGUAGCAAGGUUAACCGAAUAGGGGAGCCGAAGGGAAACCGAGUCUUAACUGGGCGUUAAGUUGCAGGGUAUAGACCCGAAACCCGGUGAUCUAGCCAUGGGCAGGUUGAAGGUUGGGUAACACUAACUGGAGGACCGAACCGACUAAUGUUGAAAAAUUAGCGGAUGACUUGUGGCUGGGGGUGAAAGGCCAAUCAAACCGGGAGAUAGCUGGUUCUCCCCGAAAGCUAUUUAGGUAGCGCCUCGUGAAUUCAUCUCCGGGGGUAGAGCACUGUUUCGGCAAGGGGGUCAUCCCGACUUACCAACCCGAUGCAAACUGCGAAUACCGGAGAAUGUUAUCACGGGAGACACACGGCGGGUGCUAACGUCCGUCGUGAAGAGGGAAACAACCCAGACCGCCAGCUAAGGUCCCAAAGUCAUGGUUAAGUGGGAAACGAUGUGGGAAGGCCCAGACAGCCAGGAUGUUGGCUUAGAAGCAGCCAUCAUUUAAAGAAAGCGUAAUAGCUCACUGGUCGAGUCGGCCUGCGCGGAAGAUGUAACGGGGCUAAACCAUGCACCGAAGCUGCGGCAGCGACGCUGAUGCGUUGUUGGGUAGGGGAGCGUUCUGUAAGCCUGUGAAGGUGUACUGUGAGGUAUGCUGGAGGUAUCAGAAGUGCGAAUGCUGACAUAAGUAACGAUAAAGCGGGUGAAAAGCCCGCUCGCCGGAAGACCAAGGGUUCCUGUCCAACGUUAAUCGGGGCAGGGUGAGUCGACCCCUAAGGCGAGGCCGAAAGGCGUAGUCGAUGGGAAACAGGUUAAUAUUCCUGUACUUGGUGUUACUGCGAAGGGGGGACGGAGAAGGCUAUGUUGGCCGGGCGACGGUUGUCCCGGUUUAAGCGUGUAGGCUGGUUUUCCAGGCAAAUCCGGAAAAUCAAGGCUGAGGCGUGAUGACGAGGCACUACGGUGCUGAAGCAACAAAUGCCCUGCUUCCAGGAAAAGCCUCUAAGCAUCAGGUAACAUCAAAUCGUACCCCAAACCGACACAGGUGGUCAGGUAGAGAAUACCAAGGCGCUUGAGAGAACUCGGGUGAAGGAACUAGGCAAAAUGGUGCCGUAACUUCGGGAGAAGGCACGCUGAUAUGUAGGUGAAGUCCCUCGCGGAUGGAGCUGAAAUCAG
rnacentral:rRNA from 1 species